rnacentral:rRNA from 1 species
UACGGAGGGUGCGAGCGUUAAUCGGAAUUACUGGGCGUAAAGGGUGCGUAGGUGGUUUGAUAAGUUAUCUGUGAAAGCCCUGGGCUCAACCUGGGAAGGCCAGAUAAGACUGUUAGACUGGAGUAUGGGAGAGGGUAGUGGAAUUUCCGGUGUAGCGGUGAAAUGCGUAGAGAUCAUGAGGAAGACCAGUGGCGAAGGCGGGUCUCUGGACAGUUCCUGACACUGAGACACGAAGGCCAGGGGAGCAAACGGG